rnacentral:rRNA from 1 species
AGAGUUUGAUCCUGGCUCAGGAUGAACGCUAGCGACAGGCUUAACACAUGCAAGUCGAGGGGCAGCAGGGGAGUAGCAAUACUCCCGCUGGCGACCGGCGCACGGGUGAGUAACACGUAUGCAACCUGCCCUUGUCAGGGGGAUAAGCGGAAGAAAUUCCGUCUAAUACCGCAUAAUGCUGCGGGGAGACAUCUCCCUGCAGCCAAAGAUUUAUCGGACAAGGAUGGGCAUGCGGCGCAUUAGCUUGUUGGCGGGGUAACGGCCCACCAAGGCGACGAUGCGUAGGGGUUCUGAGAGGAAGGUCCCCCACACUGGUACUGAGACACGGACCAGACUCCUACGGGAGGCAGCAGUGAGGAAUAUUGGUCAAUGGCCGGGAGGCUGAACCAGCCAAGUCGCGUGAGGGAAGACGGUCCUAUGGAUUGUAAACCUCUUUUGUCAGGGAGCAAAAACUGCCACGUGUGGCAGGAUGAGAGUACCUGAAGAAAAAGCAUCGGCUAACUCCGUGCCAGCAGCCGCGGUAAUACGGAGGAUGCGAGCGUUAUCCGGAUUUAUUGGGUUUAAAGGGUGCGUAGGCGGACAGUUAAGUCAGCGGUAAAAUUGAGAGGCUCAACCUCUUCCCGCCGUUGAAACUGAUUGUCUUGAGUGGGCGAGAAGUAUGCGGAAUGCGUGGUGUAGCGGUGAAAUGCAUAGAUAUCACGCAGAACUCCGAUUGCGAAGGCAGCAUACCGGCGCCCAGCUGACGCUGAAGCACGAAAGCGUGGGUAUCGAACAGGAUUAGAUACCCUGGUAGUCCACGCAGUAAACGAUGAAUACUAAUUGUUCGGGUCAAAUGAGAUCUGAGUGAUACAGCGAAAGCGUUAAGUAUUCCACCUGGGGAAUACGCCGGCAACGGUGAAACUCAAAGGAAUUGACGGGGGCCCGCACAAGCGGAGGAACAUGUGGUUUAAUUCGAUGAUACGCGAGGAACCUUACCCGGGCUCAAACGACACAGGAAUGAUCUGAGAAAUCAGGCAGUCCUCCGGGACCUGUGUCGAGGUGCUGCAUGGUUGUCGUCAGCUCGUGCCGUGAGGUGUCGGCUUAAGUGCCAUAACGAGCGCAACCCCCAUCGACAGUUGCCAGCAGGUCAAGCUGGGCACUCUGUCGAGACUGCCGGCGCAAGCUGUGAGGAAGGCGGGGAUGACGUCAAACCAGCACGGCCCUUACGUCCGGGGCGACACACGUGUUACAAUGGCAGGUACAGCGGGAAGCCACCCGGCGACAGGGAGCGGAACCCGAAAGCCUGUCUCAGUUCGGAUUGGAGUCUGCAACUCGACUCCAUGAAGCUGGAUUCGCUAGUAAUCGCGGAUCAGAACGCCGCGGUGAAUACGUUCCCGGGUCUUGCACACACCGCCCGUCA